UACAGAGGUCCCAAGCGUUGUUCGGAUUCACUGGGCGUAAAGGGUGCGUAGGCGGCCGGGUAAGUCUGAUGUGAAAUCUCACAGCUUAACUGUGAAACUGCAUUGGAUACUAUCCGGCUCGAGGAAUGGAGGGGAGACUGGAAUACUUGGUGUAGCAGUGAAAUGCGUAGAUAUCAAGUGGAACACCAGUGGCGAAGGCGAGUCUCUGGACAGUUCCUGACGCUGAGGCACGAAAGCCAGGGGAGCAAACGGG
rnacentral:rRNA from 1 species